GCCAACAGCCGUCGCCGCGGAAUUGGAGGUCCGGGGCGACAGAAGAAGAAGCCGCGUUAGGGUUCCUGUGUGCCGAUAGUUGCGCACGGAUUAGGGCUCGGUCGAAUCGAACAAGCCAAACGUGUUGGGAAAAAAUCGGGAUUGGAGAGGAUCGAGGCUCGUCUCGACGUGAAUCUCAUCCUCCGGUUCCGUGGGGCGAUCGCGAUGGGAUCCGCGAAGGGGAGCCCCGUGCGUCCGAGCUCGGGCGUGCUGCUGGCGUCCGACGGCUCCUUCAGUGCCCUCCUCGAUCUUCCGUCCGACCAGGCCGUGAAUCUCCUUCACCGGCUGCCGGAUCCCAACGCCGUCGCUUCCAGUGGCGGGAUGUGGCGUCUCUGCCUCCCGCCGAGGCCUAAGGCGGAGCUGCUGGACUCGGCCGGUCUCCGGCUGAUCGCGCAGCGGUCGGCGAAGAGGAAGGAAGGCGAAAAGCGCAGGGGGGAAUCUCCAGCAAAAAAGAGCAAAAGGCGCUCAGAAGAGGGGACUGCGUGCGGUAAGAAGCUCCCUUGCGUUCACGUCCGCGCUCGCCGAGGCCAAGCCACUGAUAGCCACAGCUUAGCGGAGAGAGCAAGGAGGGAGAAAAUAAAUGCUAGGAUGAAAGUUCUCCGAGAACUGAUCCCUGGAUGCAGCAAGAUAUCAGGUACAACUUUAUUGUUGGAUGAAAUCAUCAAUCACAUAAAAUCUCUCCAAUGUCUGAUUGAGUUAUUGUCAAUGAGACUAGCAGCAGCGAACUCAAGGAUCAGCUUUAGUGGCCCUGAUAGCUCCUCAUCAGUGGAUUGUGGGUGGCUAACAGUCAAUAAUGAGAGGAGUAGGAGGGUCGGAAUGGAACCGAUAGAAUGGUCAUCAUAUGGAGGAAGGAGGCAGCCACAACAGCAUAUCUGGCACAUCAAUUUAGUGCACCCCCAACAAACAUCAAGAGCCUCUGAAGGGGAGACACCCACUACACCGAUCAUGGGACCUUAUUCUUCCAGUGCCAUCAAUUUGCUUCUGGUAACUGCUGCCCUCCUGUUUCAGCUUUUUAUGUCACAAACCAAAUUGAAAGAUUACAGUACACUAGAUAAGGGGUUGGUACGACGUUGACAUUUAUUUAAUAAAGAUGUGUCUUAAUGUAUUCUGACUGCUGUGGUCCCAAAUUUCGGUGGCAUUGUUGAGCAAACAUCUAUAAAUGGUUGCCAAAGUAAUGAGGCCUUCCUGUUGCAAUUGUCCUGCGGAGGAUCCCACUUAAUUAAUAUGGUCUCCAUGGUCCCCUUUCUGUGUAUGUUCACACCCUCACUAGUAGAACUACCUUGGUCUCUAUGUUCCUAUUUCUGAGCAUCUCCAUUCUGUCCUUCACUAGUAGAACUAUCCUUUAUUUCCAAGUGGCCUAGGUCUUCAAAAAGGCUUGUUCUCCCCAUCCAUAUCUCAUAAGUACAGUAAUUCAGCACUUCAGCCAUCCGAAGACAGAACCUGAAGAUGCCAUGGUGACAGCAUGAUUUAAUAGCAGCAUGGUGGUAUGUUAAUGACAGCAAUAAAUUACUCAGUUCUCCAUGUUAUAAAUGUCUAGAAUUUUUCUUCCAUUUUUCUUUUUUUCUCAUAUCGGCGGCACUCUUUUGGACAAGAAAGGAAUCAAGCAAUCCACCUAUGAUUUUAUAAAGUAUGAUAUUAGAGAUGUUGGUUUUGAACCAUAAAGAGUGUAUUAGCCUGGAUUAGGCUUAUUAAUAUGUUUCAAGUGCUUCUAAAUC